rnacentral:rRNA from 1 species
AUUGAACGCUGGCGGCAGGCCUAACACAUGCAAGUCGAACGCGUGGCGGACGGGUGAGUAAUGUCUGGGAAACUGCCCGAUGGGGGGGGAUAACUACUGGAAGAUGUCGCUAAUACCGCAUACCAUCGGAUGUGCCCAUAUGGGAUUGGCUAGUAGGGGGGGUAACGGCUCACCUAGGCGACGAUCCCUCGCUGGUCUGAGAGGAUGACCAGCCACACUGGAACUGAGACACGGUCCAGACUCCUACGGGAGGCAGCAGUGGGGAAUAUUGCACAAUGGGCGCAAGCCUGAUGCAGCCAUGCCGCGUGUAUGAAGAAGGCCUUCGGGUUGUAAAGUACUUUCAGCGGGGAGGCGUUACCCGCAGAAGAAGCACCGGCUAACUCCGUGCCAGCAGCCGCGGUAAUAC